CACUUGCAUUCCUGCAAUGUAGCCUCUUGCGAUGCAGUUCGUUUGGGGCCAAGCAGGAUUGCACACAGCAGAUGAAAGAAGCUAAGGCGUGGCUACUCGAGUCCCAGUAGUAUCACGUGCGAUGUUCUUUGGACAGUGACCGUUCACAGUCUGUUUCCACGGCGGUGGCGGAUUGCCCUGUACCGUCACCUAUCGAAAAACAGGCAGAGUAAAGAGCAGCAAGAUAUUGUUUUUGGCAGAAAGAUUUCUCCAAACACACUGAAAGCUGCAACAUCC